GACUGAAUGAUUUGAAAGGGGCUCAGAAGAUAAGGAAGUUCUUAGAUCAGCAUAGCAGCCUGCCUGGAUGUUUACAUCUGUCCCAAAAGCCCUGCUCUGGGUCCCUCUCCCAUUGAGUUGUGGCAGGUGUACAAGAGGAAUAAUAUUGUCACAAUCCUAAUAUUGAAAGAGAAAGAUAUCUCACUGAAGACAGCUUGAUUUUCAUUUCAGUGUCAGGGAAGGCAUGGUGCCGUGCAAAGCAAGGAGAUCGGUCAAGACUUUUGAAUGUUAAAGACUUCUUUUAAGGUGCUUUUCUUCAUGCCCUGCCUUCAGGGCUUAAACAGAUGGCAACCACAGCAAGGAUUUUCUCAGUUGUGGGGUUCCGUCC